rnacentral:rRNA from 1 species
CUACGGGAUGCAGCAGCGGGGAAUAUUGCACAAUGGGCGCAAGCCUGAUGCAGCCAUGCCGCGUGUAUGAAGAAGGCCUUCGGGUUGUAAAGUACUUUCAGCGGGGAGGAAGGGAGUAAAGUUAAUACCUUUGCUCAUUGACGUUACCCGCAGAAGAAGCACCGGCUAACUCCGUGCCAGCAGCCGCGGUAAUACGGAGGGUGCAAGCGUUAAUCGGAAUUACUGGGCGUAAAGGCACGCAGGCGGUUUGUUAAGUCAGAUGUGAAAUCCCCGGGCUCAACCUGGGAACUGCAUCUGAACUGGUAAGCUUGAGUCUCGUAGAGGGGGGUAGAAUUCCAGGUGUAGCGGUGAAAUGCGUAGAGAUCUGGAGGAAUACCGGUGGCGAAGGCGGCCCCCUGGACGAAGACUGACGCUCAGGUGCGAAAGCGUGGGGAGCAAACAGGAUUAGAUACCCGCGUAGUC